CUUUAAAAUUCUGUAGAAACUUUUGCCAGAACUGAUGUGCAUACUUUUUGUCCUGGGACUAUUUUGAUUAUUUACAUGUAAAGUGUUCAUACUCUUUUCUGUAUACUCUUAUCUUUCAUGUUGUUUCUUUCUAACAUCAUCACUCCAGCGGAAGAUGCCGUGCAUCAUGUAAUGUAGCAACACCAAGAAGGCCACCAUCAAGGCGAAGCUGCAAACACACAGAGCAGGUCUCGACUCCAAACCUAUUUGUUAUUUAUUCACAGAUCCCAUAAACAUUUUCUUAGUAAUUUGAGAUUUGUAAAUAUAAUGCCUUAGUUUACAAGUCUGUUGCAAGAGGAUGUGUAGGUGUAGCAUCCUUUUUGUUUUCAAUGUUUGACUUCAUUCUCAUAUGGCUUUGGUGCUUAGAUUAUGCUUACAACUCAAGCCGGUUUCACCUGAAUUUAUCAUACAACGUGGAACUAAUUAGAGCUGAGUUCUUGAUGCUUACUUUGUGCAACUGAAGAAUAAAAUAACUUAAGUUCCAUCUGUGUCCCUGCUCCUUUUUGCAACGUUUGGUUUUGUUCUCUUCAACAUUAUUUGCUUCAACACGAUAUCAGUUUAGCUAAAUGAUUGGAUCAGAGUAAAAAUGGAGUUACAGCAAUGGUCCGUGAUGUCCUUUUCUGCCAUGUUGGUUCCAUGUAUUUUGUUGCAUUCCUUUUGUUAGAAUUCUGCAUGCUCUUUUGCUUUGUUGUGAAAAUUCUAGCUGUGUGUGGGCCUGUGGCAUAAGCUUUUCUUAUGGGAUGUGGUGAAGUUUCUGCUCCUCUGGAAGGUAUCGUGUUAUUUCCAGUGAGGUGCAUACGUUGACAGUAGUUUUGACAAGUAAUGGCUUUUUAUAAUUAUUCAUAUGGUAAUUGCUAGGAACUUUGAGCUUCCAGUUCUAAGAGAGGCAUUUGUAUUUACUUAAUUUAGCCUUCAAUUUGUUUCGCUUCAUUGCAAGAAAUUUCUGAUGCAAAAAUGGAUUUCCUCCUACAUUUUCCUCAGCAGCCGCCACACUUUCUUUUGAGUUGCGACAAUCGAAAAGUGCAUCAGAGAAGCCCCCAUAACUGCUCUUAUUGCAAAUAAGACCAUUGUGCGUCAUUAGAUACACAAUGAUGGAUAGUUUCUAGCACAUCUUGGAAUAUAAUUAUUAUUUUCCUGCCUACAAUAGAGUGGCAUUUGUCCAUGAAGAACAGAGUGCGUGUAGCGCAAGAUAGGAUGUACGUGUAUGUUUUGAUGUACGGAAACAAUGAAGAAAACCAUGAAGCUGUAGAUGUAUAAUUUUUUUGGUUUUUCAAGAUUAUUGGUUGAUGCAAAUAUUUAGUUUGUGUUCCGAUGGAUUGUCUCCAAAUGUUGCUAAUAUUUUAUGGACUAUAGGCAAAGAACAUCUUAUGCCUAGCCCGUACAUUCUCAUCGACUAUAUUCACCGUUGUACUGGUAUAUGUUGUUUAUACGCAUUUUGUUGGCAUGAUCCAACAUUCCUAGAAAAGGGUAAGUAUAGUGUCCUGUCAUGCUAGAUGCUUGCUGUUUGGCUUUAAUCAAGAACUUUAUUUUUUACUUUGCUGCUCAAUUUUUUAGGUACAGUAAUGGCUUGUAGAUAAGCAUAACGAUAUUGGUUAUCUGUUGUUGAUUCUUCCCCCCUUUUCUGUUGCAGUAAGCACAAAAUUUUUGCUACGAUUUCCCUUUCUUCCUGUCUUUGCAAUGUUAAUCAAGAUUUUGUAUUAAUGAGCCUUGUCUAACGCUAAUGCCUUCUUGCAAUGUGUAGUUGCCAUGAUAGCUAACUUUGCAUAUCUUUUUGUGCCUGCUUGCAAGCCGGCCUCACUCCUGUCAAGCAUAUCACUGUCUUGGGGGAAGACUGCAACCCUGAAAAAUGCAUAUCAGUCUAAGUCAAGAGCGGUCAAUGAGCUUUUCAAUAUGGUCAUUGGUUGACAACGGAGUAGCUAUUGAACUGAAGUAGAAACAUUUCCAGUUCUCCACAAGCUGAUGCAGGUCUGCACCAUGACAGAUACUUUGGCAUUGUGCGGAGCCUGGGUGGUUAUAUGCAUACCAUCGCUACUAUUCAUAUGCCUGUGUUGAAUGGUGUACUUACACUCUUCUCCAAAGGUGUCUCUGACAACAGGCAUGUGUAGAUCUAGAAUUGUUCCAGUGGACCUGUUCAGGACCCUGUACUUGUAUCUGCAGACACCAAAAGGCGCCCCGGUUUGUCACCCAGAUAGGUGAAAAAGUAUUAAUGUAAACCAAAGAAGUGCCAUCAUCUGUCACCCACUCACCCUGCUAGCUCACAAAAGGUUGGCACUGCUCCCACUAAAGAAUGCGGAUUAUUCUGUGUCAUGGACUGCGGCUGUAGAUCUUUGUUCAGUAAACUGGCGUGACAAUGGUGAACAAAAGAAAAACUUAGGUUAAUGCUCUGGUCCAGAUUAGGUACAUGUCCCACCAGUGAAGUACUUUUAAUUGAUUGGCAACAGCUUUUCAGGCACAUUAGGGAUAACACUUGCUAGCUUACAAUAGGAUGGGUAUACAAAAAGCACACUAUCAUUACACAGUUUCUUCAGGGGUUUGCUUCUGUUCACGUCUCAGAAUGCAUGCGUGAUUGAGGAGAGCCUAGACAUGAGUAAGGAAUUAUUCUCCUCCUUGCGCAAGCCGUUCCAUGUGCACCUUGACACUGUCUGAUGGCGCGAUAUAGAUGAUGGUCUCGCCUCAGAAUUCGGCCACCACCUUCCAGCGGAGAACCUCAUUUUCUAUCUUC